UUUUACGGUUAUGUUCAUGCUAAGACAAAUUAGAAAGAGUUCGUCAAUCAGUUUCACAAUGCAUUGAAAAAGAAAAUUGAAAAUGAAACCAACGCAGACUUCCACUCAUUUAGCGUCACUAUUCCCUGCAUAUUUAGAUCUCCGAUCGAAAAGAGAUUUCAAGAAUUGUACACUAAUGCAAAAUUCAAGGAAGUUCACAAACAAAUUACCUAUCUUAUAGAUUUUGAUCUAGAGUUACUUAAGAGAGAUGGUGCAGUAAAGACCUAUCUAGUAGAGGAUGGCGUUCGUGUGGAAGACUUCACUAAACUAGUUACAUAGUCAGUGAACUUUAGUGAGGAUGAUGCCGUUGCAAAGUGUUCAUGUUGGUAAUUUCAGAUGAGGGGUAUAUUUUGUAGGCAUAUUUUGGCCGUAUUCAAAUGCAACGGUAUAAAAUAUUUAUCAAAUCAAUAUAUUUUAGACCGAUAGAGAAAGGAUAUCAAGAAAAGAUACAUGUUAAUCAAUAGCUCCUAUGACGUUAGGGAUCAGCGGGAAGAUGUUAACAUAUAUUCAAAUCUAUUAAAUAUCUGUUAUAAGAUGUUACUCAUACAGCGGGUUCGAAAAAACAUAUUGAGGAUGCAACACAUAAUUUGUAUGCAAUGAUUGACUUAUAUAGUGACAAUAAAGAACCCCCAUCGAUGACCCUCGGAGGUUCCAAUGUUGUUACUUAUACAACACAAGAGACAGCUACAGAUGGUAGUUCACAUAAAGUACUCAGUCCACUAGUUGUAAGAGGGAAAGACUGACCCCCAUCUCUAAGGAAAACAUCCAGGAUGGAGAAAGACAUGCAAAAAGUUAGAGCGAAGACGAAGAAAGUACAAGUCAAGAGAAAACGUAAACAGAGAGAUGGAGGAAAUACACAAUUGCCGAACACGUGCAGGAAUUUAUUUGGCCCAUCAGAGAUAGAUAUGUGCAAUGUUGGACACGUGCAGGUAUAUUGAUUUUGUUGCUAUUUAUAAUGGAGCUAUUAUAUUUAUUUUGACGUUUGUUAUGUUAUUAGCAACCUGUUGAAGACAGCUUAGUUGUUGAUAUUACUCGAACCCAUCGCCGAGAAGUAAUGAUUGGGAGUCAAGAAAGUGUAAUAUUUUUACAUUUUUUAGUAUAUAUUAAUAUUGACAUUAUACUAAGAUUUGAAUAUUAAUCCUUACAGAUUGAAUUUGGGUUGGAUGGAUCACAACCUGUUGAAUUUGGGGUGGAUGGAUCACUACCGAUGCAACCUCGAUGAUUUUUAAGUUCAAUAUUGGUAACUUGUCCUACCCAACUCUUCCAAAGGGCAUAGGAGCUUGCACACAAUUCCCUAAUUACUAAACAUCAAUUUCAGAUUUUCCAAGAUUUGAUGGAUACAAUAGUUUGGUUGAAAAGCUUGAAACUUGUAAUUAGCACUAAUUUGUUUUGAUGUUUCCCAGGAUACAAAUUGUUGAUAUUAUAUUUUGGAUAUUAUAUACUGGGUCCUACCCGAAUCCAUUGUGAAGCAAAUUUGUAAUUUACUUGUUUGAAUUUUUG